ACGUCAACUCAAAAUGAGAUGGUGGUCAUCGCUCAAGCUAACUACAACUACCAGUUCGGCUUUACUUUCCAGUACAGGGCAACCUGCCCGGUGUGAACAAUUGCGGAUCGACCAGGCAUUCGUCUUUAUGCACCGACGCGACUGGAUACAACCCUUUUCGGGGAGACACAGGCAUGCACAGGGAGUGCGAGUUUCUUUGACGUGUGCAUGGACAGCUCACUGACCCGCCUUACUGCUGCUAUGGCUGGACCCUCCGUCAGAAGGGCAAAAUUUUAUGCCUACUUGGAAAUCUUGGUAUCUUGGUACAAAUUCUAGAGGAAAGUUACAGAUUAUCAUAGGUUCACAA